rnacentral:rRNA from 1 species
CGUACCGUUCGGUCGCGUGCCCGAUAUCGAUCUUCCGAGACGAAGCGUGCACCUCCGAUCGGACGUUCGCGGCGCACUUCGCAUGGGCGAGCGUCAACGUCGGUAGACGUGCGAGUGAGAAAGCUGCGAGAAUGGUAGGUCCUUGGGGACUGGUAAGUCUCGCUAGCAUCUAGCCCGUCGUCCACCGAGGCGGCCGCAUCGCGUGCCUCGUCAGGCUGAUGUUCUGUGCCGUCGUGUCGGGUGCGAAACGUGGCGGACGGCUUUGCCUGUGCGCUCGAACCGCCACCGUGCAACGGCGCGUCGAACAUACACCACGCGGUGAGGACGUUUGACGAUCAUACGGCUUCAUCCGACCCGUCUUGAAACACGGACCAAGGAGUCCAACAUGUUCGCAAGUCACUGGGUGCUUGAAACCCGUGGGCGCAAUGAAAGUGAAGGCAACGUGUUGUUGAGAUGAGAAGCCGUGGCAGGGGUCGCGGCUGCAUCAUCGACCGACCUGUUCUACUCCUAGAAAGGUUUGAGUAAGAGCGUACCUGUUGGGACCCGAAAGAUGGUGAACUAUGCCUGAAUAGGGUGAAGCCAGCGGAAACACUGGUGGAAGCCCGUAGCGAUUCUGACGUGCAAAUCGAUCGUCGAAUUUGGGUAUAGCGGCGAAAGACUAAUCGAACCAUCUAGUAGCUGGUUCCCUCCGAAGUUUCCCAUAAGAUAGCUGGGACGUUGCAGUUUU